GACGAACGCUGGCGGCGUGCUUAACACAUGCAAGUCGAACGGAAAGGCCCCUUUGGGGGUACUCGAGUGGCGAACGGGUGCGUAACACGUGCGUAACCUGCCCUUGACUUCGGGAUAACUUCAGGAAACUGGGGCUAAUACCGGAUAGGAAUCCUUGCUGCAUGGUGGGGGUUGGAAAGCUUCGGCGGUUUUGGAUGGACUCGCGGCUUAUCAGCUUGUUGGUGGGGUAGUGGCUUACCAAGGCUUUGACGGGUAGCCGGCCUGAGAGGGCGACCGGCCACAUUGGGACUGAGAUACGGCCCAGACUCCGACGGGAGGCAUCAGUGGGGAAGAUUGCACAAUGGGCGGAAGCCUGAUGCAGCAACGCCGCGUGCGGGAUGACGGCCUUCGGGUUGUAAACCGCUUUCAGCAGGGGCGAAGCUUGUGGUGACGGUACCUGCAGAAGAAGCACCGGCUAACUACGUG
rnacentral:rRNA from 1 species